rnacentral:rRNA from 1 species
UACAGAGGGUGCAAGCGUUGUUCGGAAUUAUUGGGCGUAAAGCGCGUGUAGGCGGCUUUGCAAGUCGGGUGUGAAAGCCCUCGGCUCAACCGAGGAAGUGCGCCCGAAACUGCAGAGCUUGAGUGCCGGAGAGGAUGGCGGAAUUCCCCAAGUAGAGGUGAAAUUCGUAGAUAUGGGGAGGAACACCGGUGGCGAAGGCGGCCAUCUUGACGGUCACUGACGCUGAGACGCGAAAGCGUGGGGAGCGAACAGG